GGCUAACCGAAGGUGCACCUGUCUCCUGAAGCCAUACAAUGAAACUGAGCCCCUAGUACAAACGCUAGGAUUCCCCCAUAAGACGAGAAGACCCUGUGGAGCUUACAACUAACAACGCUAAAACUACCGCGCACAAAGUCUUAAGACCCACACAUAACUAGAUAUUUAGCGCCACCUUUGAGUUGGGGCGACUACGGAACAAAACAAAACUUCCACGAAACAGGACUAACCGCCCCCUAUAGGCUAACACGCCAACGAGAACCCCACACAUUGACCCAGUAUUACUGAUUAACGAACCAAGUUACCCCAGGGAUAACAGCGCCAUCCCCUUUAAGAGUCCUUAUCGCCAAGGGGGCUUACGACCUCGAUGUUGGAUCAAGACUUCCAGGUGGUGUAGCAGCUACCAAAGGUUCGUUUGUUCAACGAUUAAUGUCCU
rnacentral:rRNA from 1 species